rnacentral:rRNA from 1 species
AACGUAGGAGACAAACGUUAUCCGGAGUUACUGGGCGUAAAGGGCGUGUAGGUGGUUUCGUAAGUCGUGGCGUGAAAUUUUUCGGCUUAACCGGGAAAGGUCGUCGGAUACUGCGGGACUAGAGGACGGUAGAGGCGUGUGGAAUUCCGGGUGUAGUGGUGAAAUGCGUAGAGAUCCGGAGGAACACCAGUGGCGAAGGCGGACACGC